rnacentral:rRNA from 1 species
AUUGAACGCUGGCGGCAGGCCUAACACAUGCAAGUCGAACGAGUGGCGGACGGGUGAGUAAUGUCUGGGACACUGCCCGAUGGAGGGGUAUAACUACUGGAAACGGUAGCUAAUACCGCAUACCAUCGGCUUUGCCCAGAUUGGAUUAGCUAGUAGGUGGGGUAACGGCUCACCUAGGCGACGAUCCCUAGCUGGUCUGAGAGGAUGACCAGCCACACUGGAACUGAGACACGGUCCAGACUCCUACGGGAGGCAGCAGUAGGGAAUAUUGCACAAUGGGCGCAAGCCUGAUGCAGCCAUGCCGCGUGUAUGAAGAAGGCCUUCGGGUUGUAAAGUACUGUCAGCGAGGAGGCGUUACUCGCAGAAGAAGCAUCGGCUAACUCCGUGCCAGCAGCCGCGGUAAUUC